UGGGGAAUAUUGCACAAUGGGCGCAAGCCUGAUGCAGCCAUGCCGCGUGUGUGAAGAAGGCCUUCGGGUUGUAAAGCACUUUCAGCGAGGAGGAAGGCAUAAAGGUUAAUAACCUUUGUGAUUGACGUUACUCGCAGAAGAAGCACCGGCUAACUCCGUGCCAGCAGCCGCGGUAAUACGGAGGGUGCAAGCGUUAAUCGGAAUUACUGGGCGUAAAGCGCACGCAGGCGGUUUGUUAAGUCAGAUGUGAAAUCCCCGCGCUUAACGUGGGAACUGCAUUUGAAACCGGCAAGCUAGAGUCUUGUAGAGGGGGGUAGAAUUCCAGGUGUAGCGGUGA
rnacentral:rRNA from 1 species